rnacentral:rRNA from 1 species
UGUGGGUAGGGGUGAAAGGCCAAUCAAACUCGGAAAUAGCUCGUACUCCCCGAAAUGCAUUUAGGUGCAGCGUUGAUAUAGAGUCUUAUAGAGGUAGAGCUACUGAUUGGGCUAGGGGGCUUCACCGCCUACCAAACCCUGACAAACUCCGAAUGCUAUAAGAUAUGAUCAGCAGUGAGGGCAUGGGUGCUAAGGUCCAUGUCCGAAAGGGAAAGAACCCAGAUCAUCAGCUAAGGUCCCUAAAUGUAUGUUAAGUUGUUCAAACGUGGUCCGAUUGCUUAGACAGCUAGGAUGUUGGCUUGGAAGCAGCCAUUCAUUUAAAGA